UACGUAGGGUGCGAGCGUUAAUCGGAAUUACUGGGCGUAAAGCGUGCGCAGGCGGUUCGCCAAGUCAGAUGUGAAAUCCCCGGGCUUAACCUGGGAACUGCGUUUCUAACUGGCAGGCUUGAGUGUGGCAGAGGGGGGUGGAAUUCCACGUGUAGCAGUGAAAUGCGUAGAGAUGUGGAGGAACACCGAUGGCGAAGGCAGCCCCCUGGGCUAACACU
rnacentral:rRNA from 1 species